GACGAAUGCUGGCGGCGUGCUUAACACAUGCAAGUCGAACGGAAAGGCCCUGCUUUUGUGGGGUGCUCGAGUGGCGAACGGGUGAGUAACACGUGAGUAACCUGCCCUUGACUUUGGGAUAACUUCAGGAAACUGGGGCUAAUACCGGAUAGGAGCUCCUGCUGCAUGGUGAGGGUUGGAAAGUUUCGGCGGUUGGGGAUGGACUCGCGGCUUAUCAGCUUGUUGGUGGGGUAGUGGCUUACCAAGGCUUUGACGGGUAGCCGGCCUGAGAGGGUGACCGGCCACAUUGGGACUGAGAUACGGCCCAGACUCCUACGGGAGGCAGCAGUGGGGAAUAUUGCACAAUGGGCGGAAGCCUGAUGCAGCAACGCCGCGUGCGGGAUGACGGCCUUCGGGUUGUAAACCGCUUUCGCCUGUGACGAAGCGUGAGUGACGGUAAUGGGUAAAGAAGCACCGGCUAACUACGUG
rnacentral:rRNA from 1 species